rnacentral:rRNA from 1 species
GAUGAACGCUGGCGGCGUGCUUAACACAUGCAAGUCGAACGGAAAGGCCCAAGCUUGCUUGGGUACUCGAGUGGCGAACGGGUGAGUAACACGUGGGUGAUCUGCCCUGCACUUCGGGAUAAGCCUGGGAAACUGGGUCUAAUACCGGAUAGGACCACAUUUUGGAUGGUGUGGUGGAAAGUUUUUCGGUGUGGGAUGAGCUCGCGGCCUAUCAGCUUGUUGGUGGGGUAAUGGCCUACCAAGGCGUCGACGGGUAGCCGGCCUGAGAGGGUGUACGGCCACAUUGGGACUGAGAUACGGCCCAGACUCCUACGGGAGGCAGCAGUGGGGAAUAUUGCACAAUGGGCGCAAGCCUGAUGCAGCGACGCCGCGUGGGGGAUGACGGCCUUCGGGUUGUAAACCCCUUUCGCUAGGGACGAAGCGCAAGUGACGGUACCUGGAGAAGAAGCACCGGCUAACUACGUG